rnacentral:misc_RNA from 1 species
GUAGGUGGUUCGCCUGCGAUAUUAGUCUGCUUAGCAGGCAACAUCUCUACUGUGCUAGAAAUUACAAAUGUAUUACUAGCAGCCUGCUUAGCAGGUUCACAGAUCAAAUAGAGGUGGCCCUCUGGGGUUAAGAUAUGAUCGAGUUGAUGCUGUAAGAGCAUCAGGGAAUUGGAACCUGCGGAAGGAUCAUUAAAGAGUUUAGAGGCUUCGGCCUACUACUCCACCCUUUGUUUACAAUACCUUUGUUGCU